UACGAAGGGGGCGAGCGUUGUUCGGAUUUACUGGGCGUAAAGGGCGCGCAGGCGGCUCAUUUUGUCAGGCGUGAAAGCCCCGGGCUUAACCUGGGAACUGCGUUUGAGACGGAUGGGCUAGAGUUCGGGAGAGGAGAGUGGAAUUCCCGGUGUAGCGGUGAAAUGCGCAGAUAUCGGGAAGAACACCUAUGGCGAAGGCAGCUCUCUGGGACGGUACUGACGCUGAGACGCGAAAGCGUGGGGAGCGAACAGG
rnacentral:rRNA from 1 species